rnacentral:rRNA from 1 species
UUGUUAGAUACCGGCGUAAAGAGUGGUUAAGAUAAAUUAUAGACUAAAGCCGAACGCCCUCAGAACUGUUAUACGUUUCCGAAGGUGAGAAGUCCGAUCACGAAAGUGGCUUUACAUUAACUGAACCCACGAAAGCUAGGGUACAAACUGGGAUUAGGUACCCCACUAUGCCUAGCCCUAAACAUCGGUAGCAUUCUACAGCUGCUACCCGCCUGGGUACUACGAGCAUCAGCUUAAAACCCAAAGGACUUGGCGGUGCUUUAGAUCCACCUAGAGGAGCCUGUUCUAGAACCGAUGCCCCCCGUUCAACCUCACCCUUUCUUGUUUUCCCCGCCUAUAUACCACCGUCGUCAGCUUACCCUGUGAAGGCCUCAUAGUAAGCAAGAUUGGCACAGCCCAAAACGUCAGGUCGAGGUGUAGCGCAUGGAAGGGGAAGAAAUGGGCUACAUUCCCUCCCCUCAGGGAAUUACGGACGAUGUACUGAAAUACAUAUCUGAAGGAGGAUUUAGCAGUAAGCAAAAAAUAGAGUGUUUUGCUGAAAUUGGCCCUGAAGCGCGCACACACCGCCCGUCACUCUCCCCAAGCUCACACCCUAAAGUAAAUAAAACCCUAUACCUGCAA